CUCGGAAAGAAAAUGUCAGCAGAAUCGGAUGACUGUUGUCGGGCGCGCCGCUGAGCCUGCGGGGACUACGGGGAUGGCGCCGGGCUGGUGUCCCGGGUCUCCGACCUCCGGUCCUUGGCUGCCCACAGACUGCACCGGUUUUGCUCGCGGAGGGAGAUGUCCUGGGGACUGGUCCUCUAGUGGGUUCCGAAAGUGAAAGCCUGCGGUGGGUCUGGCCGGACAGCUCUUCGCUGGCCUGUUCUGCUCUUGGUCGCAAACGGUGUCCUUUGUUAGGACAGUUCUGUAUUGUCACUUUUAUCCCUUUUAUUCCUGGCGAUGCAGGACUAAACAGACCCAAAAUAAGGAGCUUCCCACUUGCCCGGGUCACUUGAAGGGCUUUCGCAUCCACCACGAAGUACAACAUACAACUUCCGAGACCCACCGUUCAGGUAAACAUGUAUGGCAGGAUGAAAUCACAGUUUCUUCCCUUCCAGAUUUGGUUAUAGUCCGUUGUAACCCUAGUGUUGCAAUUUUCUCGCUUAAGAAGGACAUAGCCAGCCCUGCCUGCCCUCGGACAGAAGGUUAGGUUAGUAUGUCAAAGGAGAAGGCAGUUCACACUAACAAAGUGUUACAAGCACAGAGUAAACCAUUCAGGAAUAAAACUCUAGCCAAAGAGCAGAAGAAAAACCGUCCACUUAAGAUGCGGUGGUCUGCUGCUUUCCUAGAUACUCUAAAGGACACGGGGUAACAGUAAAAAAGUGAAGGACAUCAGAAAACGUAGACAUAGAACCGAGGGGCUAUGACUUAGCAGUCUCAAAACUCAGUUAUUUCUGAGUUAUGUGAAUCUUAUUUGCACAUCCCAGGUAUUCAUUUUCAAAUUAUUCAAAAAUGCUCAUUUACAUAGAUCCCCAAACAUAUUCUUUUUGGAUUUUUCUGUUAUUUUCUCCAGUUUUAUGCCCAAAUGUAUUUUUUUAACAUCAUUAAAAAUUUUUU
rnacentral:lncRNA from 1 species